rnacentral:lncRNA from 1 species
ACCCUGAUUAGAUCAUCCGAGUCGUGUUCAACUCAAACAGUCCUGUGACUCCUCACUAGGACUAUCCUAACCAAGAUUUUGCUAAAUUAAAAUAUGACUGGACACAGCUCCUGAACUAGAGUGGUCAAUUCUAUCUUGACACAUGCACCGACAAGUCAAGUACUUGACUACACCCAGCAUCCUUCCAUCACUGAAUUAGAAAUUUAGGUAGUCCAGUGCCUAAGUGCAGUGAGUUGCUUGCAAGUCACCGUGGC